rnacentral:rRNA from 1 species
UACGUAGGGUGCGAGCGUUAAUCGGAAUUACUGGGCGUAAAGGGCGCGUAGGCGCCUUCUAAGUCGAACGUGAAAUCCCCGGGCUCAACCCGGGAACUGCGUCCGAUACUGGAAGGCUUGAAUCCGGGAGAGGGAUGCAGAAUUCCAGGUGUAGCGGUGAAAUGCGUAGAUAUCUGGAGGAAUACCGGUGGCGAAGGCGGCAUCCUGGACUGGCAUUGACGCUGAACAGCGAAAGCUAGGGGAGCAAACGGG